GACAGAGGGGGCAAGCGUUGCUCGGAAUCACUGGGCGUAAAGGGCGCGUAGGCGGGAUGGCAAGUCAGUCGUGAAAUCUCUCGGCUCAACCGAGAAACGUCGGCUGAUACUGCCGUUCUUGAGGGAUGCAGAGGAGACUGGAAUUCCCGGUGUAGCGGUGAAAUGUGUAGAGAUCGGGAGGAACACCGGUGGCGAAGGCGGGUCUCUGGGCAUUUCCUGACGCUGAGGCGCGAAAGCGUGGGGAGCAAAUGGG
rnacentral:rRNA from 1 species